UACGUAGGGGGCAAGCGUUGUCCGGAUUUAUUGGGCGUAAAGAGCGUGUAGGCGGCCAUACAGGUCCGUUGUGAAAACUGGAGGCUUAACCUCCAGACGUCGAUGGAAACCGUAUGGCUAGAGUCCGGAAGAGGAGAGUGGAAUUCCUGGUGUAGCGGUGAAAUGCGCAGAUAUCAGGAAGAACACCCGUGGCGAAGGCGGCUCUCUGGGACGGUACUGACGCUGAAACGCGAAAGCGUGGGGAGCGAACAGG
rnacentral:rRNA from 1 species